rnacentral:rRNA from 1 species
CAGCCGCCGCGGGAAAACGAAGGGGGCUAGCGUUGCUCGGAAUGACUGGGCGUAAAGGGCGCGUAGGCGGCGAUCAAAGUCAGGCGUGAAAUUCCUGGGCUCAACCUGGGGGCUGCGCUUGAUACUUGGUUGCUAGAGUGAGGAAGAGGGUCGUGGAAUUCCCAGUGUAGAGGUGAAAUUCGUAGAUAUUGGGAAGAACACCGGUGGCGAAGGCGGCGACCUGGUCCUUGACUGACGCUGAGGCGCGAAAGCGUGGGGAGCAAACAGGAUUAGAUACCCCUGUAGUCCCUGUCUCUUAUAC